UUCUCCAUAUGCCUAGUCACGUGCUAAUGCACUCUUCCUUUUUUCUCUUUCUCUUUCAAAGGUCUACGCCAUUUGAGAGAAAAAGGCGAAGAGUGGAGGAGCAGUUGAAAAAGAGUGGUAAAGGUGUAAACAAAGUUUUGGAGCUUUUUGCUACUCCAAGUCAAUUUGGUGACUGAAUCGAGAAAAAAGGGAGAUACUCUGUAAAGCAAAAACCAACGUACAAAUCAAAGGGAGGGAGGGGCUUACGUUACGUAGGUUCCAUGUGUUUAUUUGUAUAAAAUUUUCGUUUCUCUUGUGUUGACACGCCCACGGUCUUCUUGCUCCCAUCAAAAAGAUAUGUAUCUUUCCUCGUUUUAAUUAAAAUGAUUGUACUAAGUUUUUUAUUUAUUUUACAAUUAAAAUCUCGCCCAGGACCCUAAUUAAACUACUUCCCCUAUAGCCAGUAGCAUUGUAAUUAGUGAACGUUGUAAGCACAUUAAAGACCUCUCUGUUUGUUUUGUUUUGUUUUCUUCUCUUUAUUUUCUUCUCCUGCCCUGCC
rnacentral:lncRNA from 1 species